rnacentral:rRNA from 1 species
GACGAACGCUGGCGGCGUGCUUAACACAUGCAAGUCGAGCGGAAAGGCCCUGCUUGCAGGGUACUCGAGUGGCGAACGGGUGAGUAACACGUGGGUGAUCUGCCCUGCACUUCGGGAUAAGCCUGGGAAACUGGGUCUAAUACCGGAUAGGAACCAUUUUUAGUGUGAUGGUUGGAAAGUUUUUUCGGUGUAGGAUGAGCUCGCGGCCUAUCAGCUUGUUGGUGGGGUAAUGGCCUACCAAGGCGGCGACGGGUAGCCGGCCUGAGAGGGUGGACGGCCACAUUGGGACUGAGAUACGGCCCAGACUCCUACGGGAGGCAUCAGUGGGGAAUAUUGCACAAUGGGCGCAAGCCUGAUGCAGCGACGCCGCGUGGGGGAUGACGGCCUUCGGGUUGUAAACUCCUUUCGCUAGGGACGAAGCUUUUUGUGACGGUACCUAGAUAAGAAGCACCGGCUAACUACGUG